rnacentral:rRNA from 1 species
CGGUGCAAAGGUAGCAUAAUCAUUAGGGGUUUAAUUGGAACCUAGAAUGAAGGGUCGGACAAAGGAAAAGCUGUCUUUAUAGGUUGAGCCGAAUUUUACUUUUAAGUGAGAAGGCUUAAAUAAGUCAAAGUGACGAUAAGACCCUAUGAAGCUUUACGGAUAAUUUAUAUUCGAUUGACUUUAAUAUAAAAGUUGAGUACAAUUAUUCCGUUUUGUUGGGGUGAUGUGAGUAUAAAUACUAUUAACUGCUUAAAAAAUAUACUUUUAUAAAAGGAUUGCUAAAGAAUGAUCCUACUUAAAGAUUAAAAGACUAAGUUACUUUAGGGAUAACAGCGUUAUUUCUUUUGAGAGUUCAUAUCGAAAAAGAAGAUUGCGACCUCGAUGUUGAAUUAAAAUAUCUAUAUAAUGCAGCCGUUAUAAAAGAGGGUCUGUUCGACCUUUAAAUUUUUACAUGAUUUGAGUUCAAACCG